rnacentral:piRNA from 2 species
UGGACUUCCAAAAGCACUUCGGUUUCUGCCC